rnacentral:rRNA from 1 species
AUGCACGCAGAACUCCAAGGGCGAGUCACCCCGGUCGUCGCGCCACAGCAUGCCGGCGACGAGCGCAGGCGGCAGUGUGUUCGGGCGCUCAACGAGGACGGUGUUAGGAGGCACGGGAGGGAGCGUGCGCAGGCACGUUGGGCUCCUAGGAACCCCAGGGGUACAACGGUGAGUUCGGGUGAGCGUGACGGCGGCUGUGGCCACGGCGGCGAGCUGCAGAAGGCAUCGCCGGAGUUGGUGAAGAACGGCAGUGACCGGAGAUGUAGAAGAAGGGGACCGUCGCAGCAGCGCCUCCGAGCUCUAGCUGUGGCCACCGCGGCGGGUCCAUGGCGGCGCUCGGAUGCGAUGGGAGAGGAGAAGAGCGGGGUGGAUCUGAGGGGACAGGGAGAGGCGCAGGGACCGAGGGCGAGAGUGGGGGCGAGUAGGAGGCGGGAUCGAGGAGGCGGGGGCGUGGCGACCUUAUCCCCUCCUCAACGCCGGCGAGGGGGUCCGCUUCCCGUCGCUGGUGGCAGCGCCCUCCCUCACUCGCCCUCUCCUCCUUCCCUCCUCACGGUCGCCUCCACCAUGCCACAAACCCCGGCGACGGCCUCGUCCACACCUCAUCCUCCUCCCCCUCCCCCGGUUCCGUCCCCAGCCCCGCCCGGAUCCACCGUGCUUGUCCAGAAUCGCCGCCCCCACCCCGCCGUCGAUCUCGCCCAUGGCUGCCGCCACCACCCCGCCGUCAUCCUCGCCCACGACGGCCGCCCCCACCCCACCGUCGUCCUCGCCCAUGGCGGCCGCACCACCCCGCCAUCGACCUCGCCCCCGGCCAACGGCCUCCUCCAUAUCCUUCUGACCCCAAGGCUGAGGUUGUUCCCGUCUAUCUCCCCUGUGUGGGCAUGUACAUCAUCGGCAAGCGUGAGGAGGGGUUGUCGUAGUUGCUUCUUCGCCUUCCCCCAUCUCACGUCCCCAUUGCCUUGCCACGUCUCUCACCUUGCCCCUCUCCAUGAACUAUUUCUGGAGGCCCUCGGCGCCGCAUUAGAUGUCGGAUGGUCUCGACCGGAUCCUGCUGCCCAACAAGAUGUGCAUUACCUGGGUGAUGAAGAAAAUCGAUGGGUCACGCCAUCUCCUGAAGAGUUGGAGGAAAAGAGGAAGGAGAAGGACAAGAUCUCCUACGACAUGAGAAAGCAACUAGCGAAGCUCCGCGUCAAGGCUGAGAAGGCAGCCGAAAGAAUCCCUUGUUAUGACCUAUCGUGGGAAAUUUUUAAGCGUGUUUUCCCUUUGUACAUGUCGUUUUGGGCCAUCAUAGUUGUCUCUACACCAAGUUGGGUUCUGAGGCUGCAGCCUGGGCACAGGUACUGCCUCCUCGGCCAGCUCUCCAAGGAGGUUGGAUGGAACUACGCUCAAACCAUCAGAUCUGUAGAAGCUGCCGCUGCCGUUGCCGCUGUUGCAGGUGGAACAAGAAGAAGCCCUCAUGGCUGCUGCACAUCUGAAGUGGCGAGCGCCACCCCAUUUUUUUGGUACUAUGAAGUGUUAGUUGGGCUGCGACUUGAUGGUCAUGCUGCUGUUUUGCUCUGCUUGAUAAUUCCAAUCAGAUCAUUGUCCACACUAUCAUCAUCAGGUCUUGAUUCCCUUUAUUCUCUCCUGCCUUGUGAUUUUAUGUACAGAAGAUCUAAUGUUGUUGAGGAUGCUGGUGCUACGACAGAAGAUCAAGGAAGCCUCGAGAUGUGCACCAUAGUUUUAGUUGAUGUUGCUAGUUUGCCACCAUGUUUUGAAUAUUUGAUGUUGUUGAUGUUGCUACUUUGCCACCGUGUAUAUGCUGUUGGACAUGCAAACAUGUAUGUGAUGUUGUGA